UACGAAGGGGGCUAGCGUUGCUCGGAAUUACUGGGCGUAAAGGGCGCGUAGGCGGCCUUCUAAGUCGAACGUGAAAUCCCUGGGCUCAACCCAGGAACUGCGUCCGAUACUGAAAGGCUUGAAUCCGGGAGAGGGAUGCGGAAUUCCAGGUGUAGCGGUGAAAUGCGUAGAUAUCUGGAGGAACACCGGUGGCGAAGGCGGCAUCCUGGACCGGUAUUGACGCUGAGGCGCGAAAGCCAGGGGAGCAAACGGG
rnacentral:rRNA from 1 species